rnacentral:rRNA from 1 species
CAGUCGCCGCGGUAAUACGAAGGGUGCAAGCGUUAAUCGGAAUUACUGGGCGUAAAGCGUGCGUAGGCGGUGAGUUAAGUCUGCUGUGAAAUCCCCGGGCUCAACCUGGGAAUGGCAGUGGAUACUGGCUUGCUAGAGUGUGUCAGAGGAUGGUGGAAUUCCCGGUGUAGCGGUGAAAUGCGUAGAGAUCGGGAGGAACAUCAGUGGCGAAGGCGGCCAUCUGGGACAACACUGACGCUGAGGCACGAAAGCGUGGGGAGCAAACAGGAUUAGAUACCCCCGUAGUCCCUGUCUCUUAUAC